rnacentral:rRNA from 1 species
CGAUGCAACGCGAAAACCUUACCCACCUUUGACAUGUACGGAAUCCUUAGAGAUAGAGGAGUGCUCGAAAGAGAGCCGUAACACAGGUGCUGCAUGGCUGUCGUCAGCUCGUGUCGUGAGAUGUUGGGUUAAGUCCCGCAACGAGCGCAACCCUUGUCCUUAGUUGCCAGCAUUCAGUUGGGCACUCUAAGGAGACUGCCGGUGUUAAACCGGAGGAAGGUGGGAUGACGUCAAGUCCUCAUGGCCCUUAUGUCCAGGGCUACACACGGUGCUACAAUGGGUGGUACAAAGAGAUGCAAUCUCGCAAGAGCAAGCAAACCUCAAAAGCCAUCCUCAGUUCGGAUUGGAGUCUGCAACUCGACUCCAUCGAAGUCGGAAUCGCUAGUAAUCGCGGAUCAGCACGCCGCGGUGAAUACGUUCCCGGGCCUU